rnacentral:rRNA from 1 species
AGAGUUUGAUCAUGGCUCAGAACGUACGCUGGCGGCACGCCUAACACAUGCAAGUCGAACGAAGUAGCAAUACUUAGUGGCAGACGGGUGAGUAACAUGUAGGUAUCUGCCCUUUGGCCUGGAAUAACACGAGGAAACUUGUGCUAAUACCGGAUAAGUCUUUACGGAGAAAGCUUUAUGCACCAUUGGAUGAGCCUGCACUUGAUUAGUUUGUUGGUGGGGUAAUGGCCUACCAAGACUUUGAUCAAUAGCUGAUUUGAGAGGAUGAUCAGCCACAUUGGGACUGAGACACGGCCCAAACUCCUACGGGAGGCAGCAGUGGGGAAUCUUGCACAAUGGAGGAAACUCUGAUGCAGCGAUGCCGCGUGAGUGAAGAAGGCCCUUGGGUUGUAAAGCUCUUUCGUCGGGGAAGAAAAUGACUGUACCCGAAUAAGAAGGUCCGGCUAACUUCGUGCCAGCAGCCGCGGUAAUACGAAGGGACCUAGCGUAGUAUCGGAAUUACUGGGCUUAAAGAGUUCGUAGGUGGUUGAAAUAGUUGGUGGUGAAAUCCCAGAGCUUAACUCUGGAACUGCCAUCAAAACUUUUCAGCUAGAGUUUGAUAGAGGAAAGCAGAAUUUCUAGUGUAGAGGUGAAAUUCGUAGAUAUUAGAAAGAAUACCAAUUGCGAAGGCAGCUUUCUGGAUCAUUACUGACACUGAGGAACGAAAGCAUGGGUAGCGAAGAGGAUUAGAUACCCUCGUAGUCCAUGCCGUAAACGAUGUGUGUUAGACGUUGGAAAUUUAUUUUCAGUGUCGCAGCRAAAGCGAUAAACACACCGCCUGGGGAGUACGACCGCAAGGUUAAAACUCAAAUGAAUUGACGGGGACCCGCACAAGUAGUGGAGCAUGUGGUUUAAUUCGAAGAUACGCGCAGAACCUUACCAACACUUGACAUGUUCGUCGCGACUCUAAGAGAUUAGAGUUUUCGGUUCGGCCGGACGAAACACAGGUGCUGCAUGGCUGUCGUCAGCUCGUGUCGUGAGAUGUUGGGUUAAGUCCCGCAACGAGCGCAACCCUCACUUUUAGUUGCCAUCAUUAAGUUGGGCACUCUGAAAGAACUGCCAGUGAUAAGCUGGAGGAAGGUGGGGAUGACGUCAAGUCCUCAUGGCCCUUACGUGUUGGGCUACACACGUGCUACAAUGAUAUCUACAACAGGAAGCAAAACGGCGACGUUAAGCAAAUCCUUAAAAGAUAUCUCAGUUCGGAUUGCNCUCUGCNACUCGAGUGCAUGAAGCUGGAAUUACUAGUAAUCGNGGAUCACCG